UAACGACUGCGCUACCCAGGCGCCCCUGUUUUACCUUCUUUUGAAAGAGAAGAAAUAGAUGAGAAACCAUCUUCGCUGAAUCCAGAGUCUCCAAACCUCCAUGGCCCCAACAGAGGAAGGAGAAGAAAGGAAACUAACGUUUACUGAAGACCUACUAUGUACCAGAGCCUGCCCGAGGAGGCGACAUUUCUACUACAACUGCUGGAUCGACUUCUGCCCUAUUUCCCCGUGCUUGGCCCCAGAGAGCCAGAGCAGCAGAGAAGGUGCCAGCCACACAUUCCUACAACCCUGAAGGCCUGAGCUGGAGGGGAGAGUUUGCUUCCCCAAGCAGAAGGACUGCCGAGGUGAACGGUGCUGAGCCGCUCCCUCUCCAGGCCUGCUCCCCUUAGGGCUCAGGGGCCCCUGAUUCUAGGGCUGAGCCAGGGCCUGUAUGCAGAUGGAGGUGAGAGUGUUUUCUGCUGCCGAUCCAAGCCCAACCCAGAACUAGGGUGGGGCUCUGUCUGGGCCCGGGUGGAGAUCUUUGUCACCAGGCUCAGGCCCAGUUUGUGACCAGGGUCAGGGCUCAUCCUAAGAUCAGGGAACCGGGAGAAGCAGCCCUUCAAGGACAGACUCAGCUCAGGAUUCCAACUCUAGGGCGGUGAGUCAGGCAGCCUGGCUGGGAGCCCACAGGCCUUUAGGCUCUGGAGCAGAGGCUCCGGUGAAGGCAAUGUCCCAGAGCUAAUGCCCAGGGUCUCUGGUCCCCUCUCAGGUAGGUACUGGGGGCAGAUGACCUCCUAUCCGCCCCCGCCCACCAGACAGCCUGCCCUCCAGACUCAAUGGCCGUGGUUGGCUGCCUCCUUCCGAGGACUCUGCUCCAGGCUCUGGAGUUUACAUGGACAAGCGGUGGGCUCAGCGUCUCUCACCAUCCUCAGGGCUCUGUCCAGAGGUGUGCUGGUGAACGGACUGCACUGCGCUUGAUUUCAGGCUGCCCACGUGAUGGUACCGCCUGCAGAGCUGGGGAGCGAUUCACGGAGUCGGCUCUCGCAAGCCAGGGGGAGCCUACGCCAGUCCCCUGCUGGCUGUCCCAGGAAGCUGGCUUACAGGGUCCUGCUAAGUCGCAGGGCCAGGGUUUCCUAGCUUGUCCUCGUGAGGGUGACAGUGAGGAUGAUGGUGGCUGUGGUUGACAUCGUGCUUGCGGUGACUGACUUCGAUUGCUGCCAUUGGCCUCUUUUCAGUGACAGGGGAGGGGCCGGUCAAGGAAGCUCCUCCAUCUCCCAGGGGAAGCCGCUAGGAGGUGCCUGGGAGCUCGAGGGCUGAUUAGGCCGUGGCUUCCUUACGGCUAGAUCAUGACUCUAUCCCAGACACUGGAAACCUGAUGUGGCUAAUGGACACGUGUCCUGCCACUAUCCCCCUCCCCCUGCCCAGGGAUGACCUAGCAUCAUGUCACCGAGGAAGCAGGAGCCCAGUGUGGGGGAAGCCCUCCCCUCACCCCUGCUGAAUCCGUGCGCCAUCUCCUCGUUCUUCCCAAUUUCUGCUUGACGACAAGUCUCUCCUCUUAUUUAAAAAAAACAAAAAACAAAAACCAGCCCUGGGGCGCCUGGGUGGCUCAGUAAGUUAAGUGUCUGACUCUUGAUCAUGAUCUCUUGGGUCUCGAGAUCAAGCCCCACGUCGGGC